rnacentral:rRNA from 1 species
GACAGAGGGUGCAAACGUUGUUCGGAAUUACUGGGCGUAAAGCGCGUGUAGGCGGCAGCGCAAGUCGGAUGUGAAGUCCCAUGGCUCAACCAUGGAAGUGCACCCGAAACUGCGUCGCUAGAGUCCUGGAGAGGAAGGUGGAAUGCUUGGUGUAGAGGUGAAAUUCGUAGAUAUCAAGCGGAACACCGGUGGCGAAGGCGGCCUUCUGGACAGUGACUGACGCUGAGACGCGAAAGCGUGGGGGGCAAACAGG